GUUUGACUGGGGCGGUCUCCUCCCAAAGAGUAACGGAGGAGCACGAAGGUGGGCUAAUCACGGUUGGACAUCGUGAGGUUAGUGCAAUGGCAUAAGCCCGCUUAACUGCGAGAAUGACGGUUCGAGCAGGUGCGAAAGCAGGUCAUAGUGAUCCGGUGGUUCUGUAUGGAAGGGCCAUCGCUCAACGGAUAAAAGGUACUCCGGGGAUAACAGGCUGAUACCGCCCAAGAGUUCAUAUCGACGGCGGUGUUUGGCACCUCGAUGUCGGCUCAUCACAUCCUGGGGCUGAAGUCGGUCCCAAGGGUAUGGCUGUUCGCCAUUUAAAGUGGUACGCGAGCUGGGUUUAGAACGUCGUGAGACAGUUCGGUCCCUAUCUGCCGUGGGCGUUGGAAGAUUGAAGGGGGCUGCUCCUAGUACGAGAGGACCGGAGUGGACGAACCUCUGGUGUUCGGGUUGUGUCGCCAGACGCAUUGCCCGGUAGCUAAGUUCGGAAUUGAUAAGCGCUGAAAGCAUCUAAGCGCGAAGCGAGCCCUGAGAUGAGUCUUCCCUGACAGUUUAACUGUCCUAAAGGGUUGUUCGAGACUAGAACGUUGAUAGGCAGGGUGUGUAAGCGUUGUGAGGCGUUGAGCUAACCUGUACUAAUUGCCCGUGAGGCUUAACCAU
rnacentral:rRNA from 1 species